rnacentral:lncRNA from 1 species
CCCUUAGGACAUUCCAAGGAUUUUAGGAGUUGUAUGCCAGGAAAUAGGGACAAAGACCAAAUUUGUAUUUGACAAAAUCACAGAACCGUAUGAGUAUUUAAUUCAAUACAGGCAUGGAAACUGGCCCAAGCAUUUACUCACAGAUGACUGGGCAAAUCCCUGGUCCUAUGGGUACAAACUAUUGAUCAAACCCCCAAUCUCAUUCCUACCCCUAAAAUAUAGCAACGUGAAAGAUCUUAUUACCUAUUUGGACUGAGAUUAACACCAUCCCUUAAACUGCAUGGCUUUCAAUCCCAGGGCUAUGGCGUGUGAUGCCACAUAGAAUAUGCAUGAAUCUUCUCUCCAACAAUUGAGUUGUUAGGAUAAAGGCUCUUGUCUUUGCCUUCUUUCUCUCACAGCCAAGAAUAUUAAGGAACGUGGACACAAAGAAUGAGUUUGGAACAGAAGUUUAAUAAGCAAAAGAAGAAAGCUCUCCCCAGCAGAGAGGGGACCCGAAAGAGGGUUGCCAACUAGGAGGCUGAAUCUGGGGGUUUUGUGAACUGGGAAGAGGAAGAAUGUGCUCACUGGUCUGUGAGCUGUCUUGGAGAUAGCACGACUUCGCUUGGCCCGGGACCUUAGCCUGGGACCAAUCAGAGGCUGAAGUGAAAUUUUGGCCCAAGACCAAUCAGGGGCUGAAGUGAAAGUUUGGCCCAGGACCAAUCAGAGGCUGAAGUGAUGAUUCAUAGAGGCUCGGCUCACAGUCCAAAGCAUGUCCAGAAAACAAAGUGGCCGCCGGAGCCUGUUAGUCCAAGCUGCACCGAUUUGUAAGCCCCCACCAUUUCACAGACCCUGUUCAGAGGGAAACAUUCCACUGGGGUUUGGGCUGCGAGAAACAUCCUCCCCAACCGCCUGACUUCCUUAUCACAUCCUGCUGGGGUAGCACUUGCUGCUACCCUGUGAGGGAUGGAGGGGCACCCUGAAGCAUUGGAGAAGUGCAUGAGUGACCUAGCUCAGAUGAUGAUAUCAUAGUAACCCUGUUUAUUAUUUAUCACCUACCAUGUGCCAGGCCUUGUGCGAAGUACUUUGCACACAUUACCUGCCAUAAAGCUCAGAGACAACUGUAGGAGUGAAUCUGUUAUAACUCCCACUUUACAGGGGAGGAAACUGACGCCCAGAGAGGUGAACCAGUCUUCCCCAGGCCUUGCACCUAGUCUCUAGGAUGUGGAUUCAGGCGGUCUGUCUCACAGAUCCCCUCAUCCUCUUGGUUUUUGCUCCUGCAGCCCUCUGGCCUGUCCCCAGGACCCUGUAACCUUGGCCACCCCCAAGAUGACCUGGACAUGGGCUUCAGCAAAGGCAGCAACCCCAGCAUAUCUCCAUUUGAUAGGGAGGAACCUCAGGCCCACCACAGGAGCCCUGGGCUGCAGGUGGUAUAGGUGCUGGCUGAACCACAGUGCACCCAUGUUGGAGGAUGCAACAUAGGAUGGGCAGCAGCAGGAGGUCUCCCUGCCCAACAACUGGUAGUGGUACCUGAGAACAAAGGAGGAGAAGGAAGCUUUGGAUACAGGUGUGGAGAAGCCCAAGGAGGAAGAAAAAGACUUGGACUAUGGGCUGCUGGAUGGCCUCAAGGAUCCCCUCCCCGAAAAGGAAUUUUGAGACUUAUACCCAGGGCUGAGAUGAAAGUGCUUCCUAUUUUCUAUCCUGGAACUGCUGCAAACCUCGGUGUGACAUCACAGGGCCUCAUUUCCCUAUUUGUAAAAUGGGAUUUUAUGGGGGUUCCAAUGAGAGACUGGACCGAGAGCAUUUUGAGAAUUGUAAAAAAUGUACAUUGAGGGAAUAAUUAUUAUCAAUGGGCCAUUGCUCUUCCAAUAGUUAGUAUUCUUUAGCAAAUAUUGGAAGGUAAAAUAUGAUUUAUUGAGGAGGUUUGCAGCAGCUGAGGCCCUCAAGAGUCUUUUCUGUCUCCGUUCAAAGCUGGCCUCUGACAGGGACCUUCUUGGUGCUACCCCUGGGCCCCUCAUUCUUUGUGCAGGCUUCUCAGGGUUCUUAUUUCUAUUGCAUCUUGUGGUUCCCUGGUGGAUGGCAUGCUCCAUCUUCACUCAGAGCUAACUGCAUCUCCUCCAGGCCCAUGUCCCUUGUGCAGCACCCAUUGCUUCCUCACCAGGAUUCAAAACCUUCUGUGACUGACCUCUGCUGACCUCCCAACUUUAUCUCCCCUCAUUCUUUCUGCUCCUCCAGUUACAUGCCUGAGCCCCUCAAUCCUGUGGCUCACACUCUCACCCAAGCUGUUCUCCAUCAGGAUUUGCUUGGCUCCCUUUUCUGCUAGGCAAAUUUGUGUUCAUCCUUCCAAGCCUUGCACAGAUGUCCUCCUCUGAAAGCUCUCCCUGAGGUCACAGAGUCCUGGAACAAGGUAGUCAUUGCUCCUCUGCUGCCUCUGCAUUUUGUGCCUUUAUCACUUUGGUGUGACUGCCCGCCUCCUGCUGAAUGGAGGCAUUUUGGCUUUACUCACCUCAGUAUCUCCUGGGUCCAGCUGGGUGUCUGGCCUGGCCCAGAAUCAGUGCUCAUCAAGGGUGUAUAGAACUCACAAGGACCCAGGAAUGUUUUGUAAAUAAUACCACCCUCCCACACUUCUCCAAUGCUUACUUUCUAAGCUCCUUUACUCUUUGACAUUCAAAUUUCUAAAUGGCCUGUAUGUAUUUACAAAGCCUGGGAAAACGCCUUCAGAGGACAAACACACCCCACCGGCAAAAUGUAUUUGCAUUGACUAGGAUUAUGGAUGAUAUUCAGCCUUCUGGCAAAUGAAUCAUUUGGCAUUGGCUGAGUAUCUGCUCUGUGCCAGAUACUAAGCUGUGAUCUCUAGAAAGAGACAUGAACUACUGACACAGUCCUUGACCCCGAAGAGCUCAGAAUCCAGUGAGCUUGAUUUCUUGUAAGUUAGAGACAGAGUUCAGAGCAGAAGCUGAGGCAGGAGAAGAGAAGUAAAAUGGACACAUCAGAG